rnacentral:lncRNA from 1 species
AAUACAUUUUUCUUGUUGCCCAUUGGUUAUUAUUAUUUAUUUACAUUGAAUUUAUAUUCAAAAACGUAGAGUCAGCUUAUGAAAAUGAAUGAAAACAGUUGAAAUGACUAUGGAUCACGUAACAAGAAAAAAUAAUAAACUAAUAAUUUCCUCUUCCCCCAAUGAGUAGUAUUUACAAUAAAUAUCAGUGAUAACUAUAAAUUGCAUAUGCCGAAGCACCAAACAUAACUUCUACUAGCUCACGCCAUUUUAACAGCUUUAUUCCAAAUAGGGUUGAUAAUUAUUUACUCUGACAGGAUCAACAUAACUCAUUCCCAAUCAAUUUCAAAUAUGAGUGUAAAUAUAUUCUGUAGUUAAAUAAGUUA